rnacentral:rRNA from 1 species
UACGAAGGGGGCUAGCGUUGCUCGGAAUCACUGGGCGUAAAGGGUGCGUAGGCGGGUCUUUAAGUCAGGGGUGAAAUCCUGGAGCUCAACUCCCAGAACUGCCUUUGAUACUGAGGAUCUUGAGUUCGGGAGAGGUGAGUGGAACUGCGAGUGUAGAGGUGAAAUUCGUAGAUAUUCGCAAGAACACCAGUGGCGAAGGCGGCUCUCUGGGACGGUACUGACGCUGAGACGCGAAAGCGUGGGGAGCGAACGAGG